rnacentral:rRNA from 1 species
GGCUGCAACUCGCCUACAUGAAGUUGGAGUUGCUAGUAAUCGCGAAUCAGAAUGUCGCGGUGAAUGCGUUCCCGGGUCUUGUACACACCGCCCGUCACACCAUGGGAGUCGGAAAUGCCCGAAGUCUGUGACCCAACCGCGAGGAGGGAGCAGCCGAAGGCAGGUCGGAUGACUGGGGUGAAGUCGUAACAAGGUAUC